rnacentral:rRNA from 1 species
UACGGGGGGAGCAAGCGUUGUUCGGAUUUACUGGGCGUAAAGGGCGCGUAGGCGGCGCGACAAGUCACUUGUGAAAUCUCCGGGCUUAACCCGGAGCGGCCAAGUGAUACUGUAGUGCUAGAGUGCAGAAGGGGCUACUGGAAUUCUCGGUGUAGCGGUGAAAUGCGUAGAUAUCGAGAGGAACACCUGCGGCGAAGGCGGGUAGCUGGGCCGACACUGACGCUGAGGCGCGAAAGCCAGGGGAGCGAACGGG